rnacentral:rRNA from 1 species
GUGGGGAAUCUUGCGCAAUGGGCGAAAGCCUGACGCAGCCAUGCCGCGUGAAUGAUGAAGGUCUUAGGAUUGUAAAAUUCUUUCACCGGGGACGAUAAUGACGGUACCCGGAGAAGAAGCUCCGGCUAACUUCGUGCCAGCAGCCGCGGUAAUACGAAGGGGGCUAGCGUUGCUCGGAAUUACUGGGCGUAAAGGGCGCGUAGGCGGACAGUUUAGUCAGAGGUGAAAGCCCAGGGCUCAACCUUGGAAUUGCCUUUGAUACUGGCUAUCUUGAGUAUAGAAGAGGUAUGUGGCACUCCGAGUGUAGAGGAGAUACGCGUAGAUAGUCGGAAGAACACCAGUGGCGAAGGCGACAUACUGGUCCAUUACUGACGCUGAGGCUCGAAAGCGUGGGGAGCAAACAGGAUUAGAACCCCGGGUAGUCC